CUUCCCUUGAAUUGGGGAUAACAUUGCGAAAGCGAUGCUAAUACCGAAUUAUAUCUAAAUUACUUCGGUAAUUUAGAUCAAAGGUGGCCUCCACAUGUAAGCUACUGUUUGAGGAUGAGCCCGCGUACCAUUAGCUUGUUGGUAGGGUAACGGCCUACCAAGGCAGCGAUGGUUAGCUGGUCUGAGAGGAUGAUCAGCCACACUGGAACUGACACACGGUCCAG
rnacentral:rRNA from 1 species